AUGUGUGAUCAUACUAGCAUUAGUGCACCGGAUCCCAUCAGAACUCUGAAGUUAAACGUGCUUAGGCGAGUGCAGUACUAAGAUGGGUGACCUCUUGGAAAGUCCACGUGUUGCACCCC